UACGAAGGGUGCAAGCGUUAAUCGGAAUUACUGGGCGUAAAGCGUGCGUAGGCGGUUUGUUAAGACAGGUGUGAAAUCCCCGGGCUUAACCUGGGAACUGCGCUUGUUACUGGCAGACUUGAGUGUGGCAGAGGGGGGUGGAAUUCCAGGUGUAGCAGUGAAAUGCGUAGAUAUCUGGAGGAACACCGAUGGCGAAGGCAGCCCCCUGGGCUAACACUGACGCUGAUGCACGAAAGCGUGGGGAGCAAACAGG
rnacentral:rRNA from 1 species